UCUACAGUGCAUGUGUCU
rnacentral:miRNA from 4 species